CAAGUUAUAGCAUAUAAUAUAAUGUUUCUAAUUUACACUUAGAAGAAAAUUUUUAUUUAACUUGA
rnacentral:tRNA from 1 species